UAUUAAAGUUGUUGCAGUUAAAAAGCUCGUAGUUGAAUUUUUGGCGGACGCUGCUGUCCAAUUUGGUACUUGCGGCGGCUGCCAUGUUUGAGUGGAACCUGUCUGGCAUUAGGUUGUCGGGUAGGGGAGGCUCAUCGUUUACUGUGAAAAAAUUAGAGUGUUCCAAACAGGCUUAUGCCGUUGAAUAUAUUAGCAUGGAAUAAUGAGAUAGGACUUUGGUACUAUUUUGUUGGUUUGCGCACCGAAGUAAUGAUUAACAGGGACAGUUGGGGGUAUUCGUAUUCCAUCGUCAGAGGUGAAAUUCUUGGAUUUCUGGAAGACGAACUACUGCGAAAGCAUUUACCAAGGAUGUUUUCAUUAAUCAAGAACGAAAGUUAGGGGAUCGAAGAUGAUUAGAUACCAUCGUAGUCUUAACCAUAAACUAUGCCGACAAGGGAUUGGCGGGGUCUCGUUACGUCUCCGUCAGC
rnacentral:rRNA from 1 species